rnacentral:misc_RNA from 1 species
CUCUUUCUUAGCCUAUUGUUAUUGCUAUUACUGACCAGUUCUGACCUUCCCUGCGCUCUCUCUCUCUCUCUGCCUCUGCGCUAGCUAAAGAACUACAUGCUCUCUGCCAAAAGGGAAAGAAAAGAGAAAGGAAAGGAAUGUUCUUCUUCUUCUUCUUCUUUUAUUAAGUGGCUGUUUCUUUUGAACGAAGAAACAAGUGUGCACAUAGAUAGAAAGAUAUAUACGGGAAGAGAGAUAACAGGGAGACCAAAAAGUAUAACGGAAUGGGUGGGGUGACUUCUUCCAUGGCAGCAAAAUUCGCUUUUUUCCCGCCGAACCCUCCUUCCUACAAGCUAAUUACUGAUGAUGCCACUGGCCUUUUGCUUCUGGAUCACUUCCCUCACCGCGAGAAUGUCGACGUCUUGCGCCUUCCUACCCGACGGGGCGCCGAUAUCGUUGCCGUGUACGUUAGGUACCCCAUGGCCACCACCUCUACUCUGCUUUAUUCUCAUGGAAAUGCUGCUGAUAUUGGCCAGAUGUAUGAGCUCUUCAUCGAAUUGAGCAUCCACUUGCGUGUAAAUCUCAUGGGGUAUGACUACUCUGGCUAUGGACAAUCAUCAGGCAAGCCCACUGAGCACAAUACUUAUGCUGAUAUUGAAGCUGCUUAUAAGUGUCUUGAAGAGAGCUAUGGUACCAAGCAGGAGAAUAUCAUCCUUUAUGGUCAAUCUGUUGGUAGUGGGCCUACUUUGGAUCUUGCUGCACGUUUACCUCGGCUAAGAGCUGUUGUCCUGCACAGUCCUAUACUAUCAGGGUUAAGAGUCAUGUAUCCUGUGAAGCGCACAUUCUGGUUUGAUAUCUACAAGAACGUAGACAAGAUUCCAUUGGUGAAGUGUCCUGUGCUGGUUAUCCAUGGAACAUCUGA